rnacentral:rRNA from 1 species
UACGGAGGGGGCUAGCGUUGUUCGGAAUUACUGGGCUUAAAGGGCGCGUAGGCGGGCUGACAAGUCUGGGGUGAAAUCCCGCGGCUCAACCGUGGAACUGCCUUAGAUACUGUCGGCCUCGAGGGAGGUAGGGGCGUGCGGAACUGUAGGUGGAGCGGUGAAAUGCGUUGAUAUCUACAGGAACUCCGGUGGCGAAAGCGGCGCGCUGGACCUCUUCUGACGCUGAGGCGCGAAAGCUAGGGGAGCAAACGGG